rnacentral:rRNA from 1 species
CCCAGACUCCUACGGGAGGCAGCAGUGGGGGAUAUUGCACAAUGGGGGGAAACCCUGAUGCAGCGACGCCGCGUGAGUGAAGACGGCCUUCGGGUUGUAAAGCUCUGUCAAUCGGGACGAAGAAGAUGACGGUACCGAUGAAGGAAGCUCCGGCUAACUACGUGCCAGCAGCCGCGGUAAUACGUAGGGAGCAAGCGUUGUCCGGAUUUACUGGGUGUAAAGGGCGUGCAGCCGGGAAGACAAGUCAGAUGUGAAAUCCCGCGGCUCAACCGCGGAACUGCAUUUGAAACUGUUUUUCUUGAGUACCGGAGAGGUCAUCGGAAUUCCUUGUGUAGCGGUGAAAUGCGUAGAUAUAAGGAAGAACACCAGUGGCGAAGGCGGAUGACUGGACGGCAACUGACGGUGAGGCGCGAAAGCGUGGGGAGCAAACAGGAUUAGAUACCCCGGUACCA